CUGGUCGUCUGCAUCAUCAAAAGGAAGAGAGCAGCAGGUCGAGAUCAGACAGCCGUGGGACGGGACGAGGAACAAAAGCACUCUGAUAACAUCUACAGCAACAACUUGCUGCCCCCUGCUGAGCAGCAGGGACCCAGCAGCGCUGUGGAGGAAGUCAGCUACGCCUCGGUCCAGUUCACACACAAGAAGCAGACCAGACCAGCGGAGAAGGUGGAGGACUCCAUCAUCUACAGCGCUGUAGCCAGAACAAGCUGAAGACAAACCACACCAUGAUGGCAGAUCAUGUUUUCUUUU